rnacentral:rRNA from 1 species
AGAGUUUGAUCAUGGCUCAGAUUGAACGCUGGCGGCAGGCCUAACACAUGCAAGUCGAACGGUAACAGGAAGAAGCUUGCUUCUUUGCUGACGAGUGGCGGACGGGUGAGUAAUGUCUGGGAAACUGCCUGAUGGAGGGGGAUAACUACUGGAAACGGUAGCUAAUACCGCAUAACGUCGCAAGACCAAAGAGGGGGACCUUCGGGCCUCUUGCCAUCGGAUGUGCCCAGAUGGGAUUAGCUAGUAGGUGGGGUAACGGCUCACCUAGGCGACGAUCCCUAGCUGGUCUGAGAGGAUGACCAGCCACACUGGAACUGAGACACGGUCCAGACUCCUACGGGAGGCAGCAGUGGGGAAUAUUGCACAAUGGGCGCAAGCCUGAUGCAGCCAUGCCGCGUGUAUGAAGAAGGCCUUCGGGUUGUAAAGUACUUUCAGCGGGGAGGAAGGGAGUAAAGUUAAUACCUUUGCUCAUUGACGUUACCCGCAGAAGAAGCACCGGCUAACUCCGUGCCAGCAGCCGCGGUAAUACGGAGGGUGCAAGCGCUAAUCGGAAUUACUGGGCGUAAAGCGCACGCAGGCGGUUUGUUAAGUCAGAUGUGAAAUCCCCGGGCUCAACCUGGGAACUGCAUCUGAUACUGGCAAGCUUGAGUCUCGUAGAGGGGGGUAGAAUUCCAGGUGUAGCGGUGAAAUGCGUAGAGAUCUGGAGGAAUACCGGUGGCGAAGGCGGCCCCCUGGACGAAGACUGACGCUCAGGUGCGAAAGCGUGGGGAGCAAACAGGAUUAGAUACCCUGGUAGUCCACGCCGUAAACGAUGUCGACUUGGAGGUUGUGCCCUUGAGGCGUGGCUUCCGGAGCUAACGCGUUAAGUCGACCGCCUGGGGAGUACGGCCGCAAGGUUAAAACUCAAAUGAAUUGACGGGGGCCCGCACAAGCGGUGGAGCAUGUGGUUUAAUUCGAUUCAACGCGAAGAACCUUACCUGGUCUUGACAUCCACAGAACUUUCCAGAGAUGGAUUGGUGCCUUCGGGAACUGUGAGACAGGUGCUGCAUGGCUGUCGUCAGCUCGUGUUGUGAAAUGUUGGGUUAAGUCCCGCAACGAGCGCAACCCUUAUCUUUUGUUGCCAGCGGUCCGGCCGGGAACUCAAAGGAGACUGCCAGUGAUAAACUGGAGGAAGGUGGGGAUGACGUCAAGUCAUUAUGGCCCUUACGACCAGGGCUACACACGUGCUACAAUGGCGCAUACAAAGAGAAGCGACCUCGCGAGAGCAAGCGGACCUCAUAAAGUGCGUCGUAGUCCGGAUUGGAGUCUGCAACUCGACUCCAUGAAGUCGGAAUCGCUAGUAAUCGUGGAUCAGAAUGCCACGGUGAAUACGUUCCCGGGCCUUGUACACACCGCCCGUCACACCAUGGGAGUGGGUUGCAAAAGAAGUAGGUAGCUUAACCUUCGGGAGGGCGCUUACCACUUUGUGAUUCAUGACUGGGGUGAAGUCGAACAAGGUAACCGUAGGGGAACCUGCGGUUG